rnacentral:lncRNA from 1 species
AGAGGCGAUGAAUCGAUUGCACAUGGUUCCGAGGCCUCUCAGAGUUUCCUGAGCCGAGAAAGGAGAGUCUUUCACUUCAGUCUUCAGUCUUUUGAAGACUCAUCUCAUUCGCACAUUUUGCCGAUCCCGCGGAUGGGGGGACUCAUGUACCACCUACGGCAGGUUAGGUAAGAGGAGAAACAUUUUUACUUUGACAGUGAUGAUAUAAUAAUGGAAACGAAAAAGAAACAUUAUGAAAUGAAAAUCAAAGAUCCAUCAAGCGAUACGAAAUCACCACAGUCAAUAUACGCCCGUGAGUGGAAUACAGUUUCCAUUGAUUCAGAGAGAAUGAGGAAGUGGAAUAAAUACGUCCAGUGUAUUGAUGAUAUUGUAUUAGAAGGCCUAAUCAAAGCAGUUACAUGCAGGUAUGUAAAUCCAAGCGGUCAAAAUUAACAUUUUCAUUAGUCCUCAUCCUUCUGAGAAAAAAAGAGCGGCUCAAACUUAUAUGUACUGCAUUUUGCAAUUAGGAACUAUGAUUUCAAGCUUACCUAGUUUUAAAACAAUCCACCAUUAGUUUUCCAAUAGACGUGCCUAUGCUUUGUUUAAGGAUGUGUCAAAAAUUGAAGUUCCUAAUGUAAAAAUGUACUUAUUGUCUAUAUGAAUUGACAAGGAAAGGAACCGAGUGCAAUCGCAAAUUACGACAGUAGAAUUUCGGCUAAGUAACACCUAAGUAACAAUAAAAAAGACAUUCUUAAAGUAUGCCUACUUUUACGCCCAAAAAUGUGUAAUAAGACCGCACUCCUGCGACUAUGGAAUACAGCAUCACUUACUUUGCUUAUUUUUACUGAACGCGGGCUAUAUUAUUACGCUGCAAUUGCUUUGUUGAUUGUUGCUCUGCACUGUAAUGCAACGCAUUCGCAGGCAAAUAACAGUUCACGCACACUGAGGUCACUUAAUUUCUUUCCUUUGAAAGUUUGACUUAAUUCCGAAAAACAGCUUCCUUCGAUAAUUUUUUAACCAAUAGCGCAAAACACCUCCCUUAGUGCAGAUUUGGUGAUCCAGCAUCCCGCUAGCCCACUUGAGAGCCUACUAGUCAAUAUCAGUGUCUUCUCAUUUCCAUACCCCUCAGCAAGGCGGGAAAGAUUUUGUGUAGAGGAUCCGUCUGUGGACAUGGCUUGACACUCUCACUUCUUUGAGCUGGCAACCGACAACAAUCAAGCAAUCAACAACAAAUUA